rnacentral:rRNA from 1 species
GUGGGGAAUUUUGGACAAUGGGCGCAAGCCUGAUCCAGCAAUGCCGCGUGCAGGAAGAAGGCCUUCGGGUUGUAAACUGCUUUUGUACGGAACGAAACGGUCCGGGUUAAUACCCUGGGCUAAUGACGGUACCGUAAGAAUAAGCACCGGCUAACUACGUGCCAGCAGCCGCGGUAAUACGUAGGGUGCAAGCGUUAAUCGGAAUUACUGGGCGUAAAGCGUGCGCAGGCGGUUUUGUAAGACAGGCGUGAAAUCCCCGGGCUCAACCUGGGAAUUGCACUUGUGACUGCAAGGCUGGAGUGCGGCAGAGGGGGAUGGAAUUCCGCGUGUAGCAGUGAAAUGCGUAGAUAUGCGGAGGAACACCGAUGGCGAAGGCAAUCCCCUGGGCCUGCACUGACGCUCAUGCACGAAAGCGUGGGGAGCAAACAGGAUUAGAAACCCUGGUAGUCC